AGCAGCAGCCACGGUAAUACAGAGGGUGCGAGCGUUAAUCGGAUUUACUGGGCGUAAAGCGUGCGUAGGCGGCUUUUUAAGUCGGAUGUGAAAUCCCUGAGCUUAACUUAGGAAUUGCAUUCGAUACUGGGAAGCUAGAGUAUGGGAGAGGAUGGUAGAAUUCCAGGUGUAGCGGUGAAAUGCGUAGAGAUCUGGAGGAAUACCGAUGGCGAAGGCAGCCAUCUGGCCUAAUACUGACGCUGAGGUACGAAAGCAUGGGGAGCAAACAGGAUUAGAUACCCGUGUAGUCCCUGUCUCUUAUAC
rnacentral:rRNA from 1 species